AUCCAGUGAAUACAUAAGAAAGACGAUCUCAGCAGGGGCCUAGUCCAGGAGCGCUACCCUGAGACACAUGCAGCCCCCGAGCGAUCCUCCCUUAUUCAGGUCCGCUCUUGGCCGUGCUGGCUGGGGAUGAUGGGUGUCUUGGCUCUGUUUCUCUCUCUCUCUCUCUCAACGUGGAGCUCCUGCCCGCGCUUGGAGUGCACCACGAAACGCCGAGGUGACGGUGCCACACACGUCCCGCCACCGGCCUGCUUUUGUCGCGGGCGGCCCACGCUGAAUGACUGAUGGAAAUUUCUCCUGGGAAGAAAAGGGUUUCUGGUAAACCGAUCCCUCCCAGGGCCCCGGCGAGGGAUGGGGAGGAGGGGUUUCCAUGCCAAGUCCGGGGCGGGCGGCCGAAUCUGGGAUCGGGUGUCGCGCUUUGCAGGAGGUGUGAGGCCGAGAUUUGCCGGCGGGUUUUCAGAAGAAGGAGCGAGGCGCUUGCUCUACCGGCCGAUUGCAAGCCUUUGUGUUUGCGUGUUCUUGCUGAGAGCGGGAUCAGAACGUGGCACCGCAAAGAGCAAGGCUCAGCCGGCAACGCCACCGGCUCCAAGGGCCAUGGCUGGGUGGCCCCAGAAGGGAACCGAGCGCCCUGGGGCCACCAUACAGCUCGGGCACCUCCGGGGCGGACCUGCCCUCCUCAGGAGGAGCCCUCGCUCCACCCUGGGGUUCUCGGGUGUGUGGAGCAGCACCGCACAGAAGGGGCCUGCGAGCAGAAGCCCUUUCCUGGAGCCCCGGCUUGGGCAUGGUCUCCCCGGAGGACCCUCACUUCCCGGGACGCCUCCAAAUGCACGCAGCCAAGCUGGCACACGGCAAGCACCGCGCCAGCCACUUGUGGAAGCGACCCUCUCGGGCCUCCGCAGCGGCCGCCCUUGCAGGCAGCCGUCCUUCCAUUCCCCGCACCCCUCAAACGCAGGAGAGAAGUGUUGCGUCCGAGAAGUUUUCCCUCCUUGGCGGUGGCGGCGGCUGCUUUCGCCAGCGCCCUCGCCCUCCAUGGCAACUCCAGGAGGCCGCAAAGCUCCUCGCCUGGCAACGGCAGGCCGCGAGGCUUCCAGACGGGAACGCCGUGGAGGCGAGAGAGAAUUGGCCGGGCGCCUGGGCGGGCGCCCUUUGUACACUGCACUUCGGCUUGCAGUGGGGUAGCGAGCGCCUUCGCGGCGGCCGUGGGACUCUAGGUGUGUCCCCACACUGCUCGGAAAUCGCCACACACACGUCUUGUUUACAUUUCUACGU
rnacentral:lncRNA from 1 species